rnacentral:rRNA from 1 species
CCUACGGGGGGCUGCAGUGGGGAAUAUUGGACAAUGGGGGGAACCCUGAUCCAGCCAUGCCGCGUGUGUGAAGAAGGCCCUCGGGUUGUAAAGCACUUUCAGUGAGGAAGAACGCCUGGUGGUUAAUACCCAUCAGGAAAGACAUCACUCACAGAAGAAGCACCGGCUAACUCCGUGCCAGCAGCCGCGGUAAUACGGAGGGUGCGAGCGUUAAUCGGAAUUACUGGGCGUAAAGCGCGCGUAGGUGGCUUGAUAAGCCGGUUGUGAAAGCCCCGGGCUCAACCUGGGAACGGCAUCCGGAACUGUCAAGCUAGAGUGCAGGAGAGGAAGGUAGAAUUCCCGGUGUAGCGGUGAAAUGCGUAGAGAUCGGGAGGAAUACCAGUGGCGAAGGCGGCCUUAUGGACUGACACUGACACUGAGGUGCGAAAGCGUGGGUAGAAAACAGGAUUAGAUACCCUGGUAGUC